UUGUGGAGGAGGACGCCGAAGGUGGGGCUAAUGACUGGGGUGAAGUCGUAACAAGGUAGCCGUACCGGAAGGUGCGGCUGGAUCACCUCCUAACAGGGAGACAACAAAAUGUAAAUAUUAAUUUUGUCACCUUAGGUCGAUCGGUAUCUCAGAUUCAUAUUCUUUAAGAAUUUCAGUUUCUAAGUUUUUUCUAGGUCACACCCAUUACUUUUCCCUGGGCCAUUAGCUCAGGUGGUUAGAGCGCACCCCUGAUAAGGGUGAGGUCCCUGGUUCAAGUCCAGGAUGGCCCAUAUCUCUAUGUUGGGGGUAUAGCUCAGUUGGUAGAGCGCCUGCUUUGCAAGCAGGAUGUCAGCGGUUCGAGUCCGCUUACCUCCACUGAAUACCACCUUUUACAUAUUGCUAAAAAGGGAAAUUGUUUUGAGCCGUGUACCAGAUGCUCUGAGCGAAUCUAGCUUCCUAUUUUUUUAAACAAAUAAGAUGCUGGACUCAUUGAAUUCUUAUUCAUUGUUUUCAGAGAACCUUGACAACUGCAUAGAUUUUUUUUGAAGACAAUAAGCAUCUUUAAUGAUGCAGAUUUAUUAUUUGUGCGAAUGCAUUAAAUAACAAUUCUAUUAAGCUGAUGCUUCAAUUAUUGGAGUUAUUGGUCAAGCUACAA
rnacentral:misc_RNA from 1 species